rnacentral:rRNA from 1 species
CCUACGGGAGGCUGCAGUGGGGAAUAUUGGGCAAUGGAGGAAACUCUGACCCAGCAAUGCCGCGUGAGCGAAGAAGGUCUUCGGAUUGUAAAGCUCUUUGAUUGGGGACGAAGUAAGUGACGGUACCCAAGGAACAAGCCCCGGCUAACUAUGUGCCAGCAGCCGCGGUAAUACAUAGGGGGCGAGCGUUGUCCGGAAUUACUGGGCGUAAAGGGUGUGUAGGCGGUUUUUUAAGUUAGAAGUGUAAUACCCAGGGCUUAACUCGGGUGCUGCUUCUAAAACUGGAAGACUUGAGUGUAGGAGAGGAGAAUGGAAUUCCUAGUGUAGCGGUGGAAUGCAUAGAUAUUAGGAGGAACGCCGGAGGCGAAAGCGAUUCUCUGGACUACAACUGACGCUGAGGCACGAAAGCGUGGGGAGCAAACAGGAUUAGAUACCCGAGUAGUC